rnacentral:rRNA from 1 species
AUUGAACGCUGGCGGCAGGCCUAACACAUGCAAGUCGAACGAGUGGCGGACGGGUGAGUAAUGUCUGGGAAACUGCCUGAUGGAGGGGGAUAACUACUGGAAACGGUAGCUAAUACCGCAUACCAUCGGAUGUGCCCAGAUGGGAUUAGCUAGUAGGUGGGGUAAAGGCUCACCUAGGCGACGAUCCCUAGCUGGUCUGAGAGGAUGACCCGCCAAGCUUGAACUGAGAAAAGGGCCAGACUCCUCCGGGAGGCAGCAGUGGGGAAUAUUGCACCAUGGGGGCAAGCCUGAUGCCGGCAAGCCGCGUGGAGGAAGAAGGCCCUCGGGUUGUAAAGUAAUUUCAGCGAGGGGGCGUUACUCGCAGAAGAAACACCGGCUAACUCCGUGCCAGCCGCCGCGGUAAUAC